GUUUGAGCGCUUCACAGAGAAGGCUAUCAAAGUUAUCAUGCUUGCACAAGAAGAAGCUAGACGCUUAGGCCACAAUUUCGUCGGAACAGAGCAAAUACUGCUGGGGCUUAUAGGCGAAGGAACAGGAAUUGCUGCUAAAGUUCUAAAAUCCAUGGGUAUCAAUCUCAAGGAUGCCAGAGUAGAAGUGGAAAAGAUCAUUGGAAGGGGCAGUGGAUUUGUUGCCGUUGAGAUACCAUUUACGCCACGUGCAAAACGUGUUCUGGAGCUCUCGCUGGAGGAAGCCCGCCAACUAGGUCAUAAUUAUAUAGGAUCUGAGCACUUACUUCUUGGAUUACUUCGUGAGGGUGAAGGUGUAGCAGCUCGUGUGCUUGAGAACCUUGGAGCUGAUCCAAGCAACAUCCGUACACAAG
rnacentral:misc_RNA from 1 species